UUGGACCUUUAUCCUCCUCAUUUGCAAUCCCUAAUCAAUGAAGCAAAUGAAUGGAUAUAUGAUGGAAUAAACAACGGAGUGUAUCAAUGUGGUUUUGCAAAGAAGCAAGAGCCUUAUGAUGAGGCUGUGCAAAAAGUAUACAAAGCUUUGGACAAAUGUGAGGAGAUACUGAGCAAGCAGAGAUACAUAUGUGGAGAUCAAGUGACUGAAGCAGAUAUUCGCUUGUUUGUCACCCUGAUUAGGUUUGAUGAGGUGUAUGCUGUCUACUUCAAGUGCAAUAAGAAGCUACUUCGUGAAUAUCCAAAUCUGUUUAAUUACACCAAAGAUAUUUUCCAAAUACCCGGCAUGAGCAGUACGGUCAACAUGGAACACAUCAAAAAGCAUUACUAUAGGAGCCAUCCUAGCAUCAAUCCUUUCGGAAUCAUUCCCCAGGGUCCAAAUAUCGACUAUUCCUCUCCACAUGAUCGAGAGAAGUUCUCUAAGUAGGAUUGGUACAUAAUCUGAGCAUGCAUUUCAAACUCCGGUCAUCCUUUUCACUCCUUAAGGUUCAAGGAGUAUGUGGAGUUGCUACAAGUACUGAUGCUGCCUCAAUCUUCGGCUUUUUAUAGCGUAAAUUAUCUUAUAAGAGAUGUAAGUUGUGCUAGUUUUUUUUUUUGUAAAGUAA
rnacentral:misc_RNA from 1 species